UACAGAGGGUGCAAGCGUUAAUCGGAAUUACUGGGCGUAAAGCGUGCGUAGACGGUUAUGUAAGUCAGAAGUGAAAGCCCCGGGCUCAACCUGGGAAUUGCAUUUGAGACUGCAUAGCUAGGAUGCGGAAGAGGGAAGUGGAAUUUCCGGUGUAGCGGUGAAAUGCGUAGAUAUCGGGAGGAACACCUGUGGCGAAAGCGGCUUCCUGGUCCAGUACCGACGUUCAGGCACGAAAGCGUGGGGAGCAAACAGG
rnacentral:rRNA from 1 species